GUCGUUGACAGAUUCUUGAAAACGGAAUGGAUGCACCUGAAUGGAAAGAACCUUACUAGAAAAAUUGUGAAAAAAUCGAUCAAUGUUCCACAACAGGAAAAUGGAUAUGACUGUGGUCUGUUUGCUUUAUUCUAUAUGGAGCGUUUUAUCCAGGAGGCACCUGACAGGUUUUGCAGGAUAGACCUUUCUAUGGUUAGAUACUAUUUGUUGCUUUCUUUAUUUUUUAUAUGUAUGCUUCACUGCUUUCUAGAACACACUCGCCGGAUCUGGCCAUCUUAUUGUUUCUUAUUUUCUACUAGUUUGGCAAAAGAUGGUUUCGACCAGAAGAGGCUUCAGAGUUGAGAAAGAAAAUGUUUGAUCUGCUGCUUCAGUUGUUCGAGAAAGACAACCUAUAAUGUAAACCUUGUGUACUCGAAUCAUCUCGUAGUUACAAUCAGGGCAAGAUCU